AGCCGAUUAGCUCAGACGGAAUGAGAGCAGCGAUUUUCUAAAUUGCAGGUCGUCGGUUCAAGUCCGACAUCGGCUGCCA
rnacentral:tRNA from 1 species